UACGUAGGGGGGCAAGCGUUGUCCGGAUUUAUUGGGCGUAAAGAGCGUGUAGGCGGCCACACAGGUCUGCUGUGAAAACUCGAGGCUCAACCUCGAGCUGUCGGUGGAAACCGUGUGGCUAGAGUCCGGAAGAGGGUCGCGGAAUUCCCAGUGUAGAGGUGAAAUUCGUAGAUAUUGGGAAGAACACCGGUGGCGAAGGCGGGCGACCUGGUCCAUUACUGACGCUGAGGCGCGACAGCGUGGGGAGCAAACAGG
rnacentral:rRNA from 1 species